rnacentral:rRNA from 1 species
GAUCCUGGCUCAGAUUGAACGCUGGCGGCAUGCCUUACACAUGCAAGUCGAACGGCAGCACGGGUGCUUGCACCUGGUGGCGAGUGGCGAACGGGUGAGUAAUAUAUCGGAACGUACCUUAUUGUGGGGGAUAACGCAGCGAAAGCUGUGCUAAUACCGCAUAAUCCCUUAGGGGGAAAGCGGGGGACCGUAAGGCCUCGCGCAAUUAGAGCGGCCGAUACCUGAUUAGCUAGUAGGUGAGGUAACGGCUCACCUAGGCGAAGACGGGUAGCCGGCCUGAGAGGGCGAACGGCCACACUGGAACUGAGAUACGGUCCAGACUCCUACGGGAGGCAGCAGUGGGGAAUUUUGGACAAUGGGGGCAACCCUGAUCCAGCAAUGCCGCGUGAGUGAAGAAGGCCUUCGGGUUGUAAAGCUCUUUUGUCAGGGAAGAAACAGCAGCUCUAACACAGUCUGCGAAUGACGGUACCUGAAGAAUAAGCACCGGCUAACUACGUG